rnacentral:rRNA from 1 species
AAUCAUGGGAGUCGGAAGUACCCAAAGUCGCUUGGCUAACUUUUAGAGGCCGGUGCCUAAGGUAAAAUCGAUGACUGGGAUUAAGUCGUAACAAGGUAGCCGUAGGAGAACCUGCGGCUGGAUCACCUCCUUUCUAAGGA